UACGAAGGGGGCUAGCGUUGUUCGGAAUUACUGGGCGUAAAGCGCGCGCAGGCGGCUAUCCAAGUCAGUGGUGAAAGCCCGGAGCUCAACUCCGGAACUGCCAUUGAAACUGUUUAGCUUGAGUAUGAGAGAGGUGAGUGGAAUUCCCAGUGUAGCGGUGAAAUGCUUAGAUAUUGUCAAGAACACCUAUUGCGAAGGCAGCUUACUAGACUGUAACUGACGCUGAUGCACGAAAGUGUGGGGAUCAAACAGG
rnacentral:rRNA from 1 species